UCUAUUACACAGACUCUUUUCUAACAUACUAGGAAUUAUUAUCCAGAAUUAUUAUUGCCCUCUGUUUUCCCAUACCUUACUUUCAGUGCCACUUCCCUGCCCCCCACAGCAUCUGCGCCCCCCUUCACCACCCUAUCUGCCAGAACCCCCUUUGCUUUUCUAGAUCUCAGCCACAGACCUUGUGCUCCUGACUCAUGGGCUUCCCAGAGAGACCGCAGGUUGGCUGCCAACACCCUGAAGACAGCAAGGCUGCCCAGUCCCCCAACGCCUGCCAAGGACAGAUUCUACCUGCAACGUGGACCCAGAGAGUCAUUCUCGAACAAAGGAACCCCAGAGGCCUGAACUUACUCAGAAUUGACUUCUGCGUCCUUCUAUUAUUGGGACUGACAUUUGAAGUCCCCGGCCGGGUCUCCCUGUCAUUUGCCAUCGCCUUUGAAGUGCUUAACAGCCGAGGUAACUUGGGGUGGCACCUGGGCUCCUGACAGUGGCACGGGUGUCUCUGCCGUUUGCUGGGGACGCGUCACUUGCCCCUGCUUUUAUCAUCACUCUUUUUCUUCUCUCUGUUUCGUUUCCCAAGUGAAUUGUCGUCGCCUAGUCUUCUGCCCUUCGUUUCUAAGGGCUGGGGAGGACGUUCUUAUGUGAAUGGCCUUUAACUCAUCCCACUGUUCCCCCAGACUUGAUAUUUGCAUUAUUUCUCAUUUUUCUCUAAUGUAACAAUCCCCGCAUGAAUAUUCUCAUUCUUUCCCCCUCCCCCAGGCCUAUGAAGGUAUAACUGAUCAAUAAUAAUCAUAUCUCUUUAAGCAGUGUAAUGUGAUAAUUGGACGUGUGUAUACAUUGUGAAAUUAUUCCCACAAUCAAGUUAAUUAACACAUUUGUCACCUCACACCUCUUGGUUGGUGUAAUGAUUGUAGACCUUUUUGCACACCCACAUUUAUCCACAACAAAAUUCUAAAAUAAAAUCGUCUUAAGGCAAAGGGUAUGGACUUUAUAAACCAUUAGUGACAUGUUAGUAGCUCAGUUGGUAAAGAAUCCACCUGCAAUGUAAGAGACCCUGGUUCGAUUCCUGGGUCAGGAAGACCUGCUGGAGAAGGGAAGGCUAUCCACUCCCGUAUUCUUGGGCUUCCCUUGUGGCCCAGCUGGUAAAGAAUCUGCUGCAAUGCAGAAGACCUGGGUUCAAUCCCUGGAUUGGGAAAUCCCCCGGAGAAGGGAAAGGCUGCUCACUGCAGGGUUCUGGCCUGGAGAAUCCCAUGGACUGUAUAGUCCAUGGGGUCGCAAAGACUGAGUGACUUUCAUUUCACUACCAAAUUGCCCUAUAAAUGAAUAGGAGGGAUGGAGUGCUACCAGCAGUUUCUAAUUUUGACUUACUAUGGAGGUGAGCAUGAUAGAUGCUUGUGAAGAAAAUUCAUACAGGUCUUCAAAGUACAAAGGAAAAACAGACGUGUACCUGGCUUUCUCUGUUGCUUAUACUCUACAGAAGGACCCAGCAGGUCACCUCUGGGUCAGCCCCCCCAGCUGUCACACAUCUACUGGAUGCUGGUAACAGGGCAUCCUCUAUACAGGACUGUGGCUGGCAGACAAAUCCCUGACUCUUUCACAAUCAUAAGAAUACAGAACAGUGACUAUCUGGCAUUCAUCCUUCAGGCUUGGUUGUAAAUGUCACCUCUUUAGAGGGAAUUUCUCAACUCCCCAAUCUGUAUUUCAGCUUUUUAUUGCUCUCAUUAAUAAGACUCAGAGGUCCUGAGUGCUCUGCAUAGGAACUAGCACCCUCAGAGUACUUUGUACUUAACACAUUACGACAAACCAGGUCUGGGUACAAUGACUGUGCUCAGUGGGUCGGUCAUGUCCAACUCUGUGCACCAUGGACUGUAGUCCACCAGGCUCCUCUGUCCAUGGAAUUUUCCAGGCAAGAAUACUGGACUGUGUUGCCACUUUCUGCUGCAGGGGAUCUUCCUGACCCAGAGAUCAAACCCAUGUCUCCUGCAUUUCCUGCAUUGUAGGCAGAUUCUUUAUCCACUGAGCCAAUUGGGAAGCCCAAUUGAUUAUUGGUAUGUUGUAAAUAUUUCAAAGUCUAUAGCAUAUCAUGAGAAGUGUUAUCAUUUACAAACUAAUUUCAAAGUGAAUUGAUCUUGAGAGUCCCUUGGACAGCAAGGAGAUCCAAUCAGUCAAUCCUAAAGGAGAUCAGUCCUGAGUAUUCAUUGAAAGGACUGAUGCUGAAGCUGAAACUCUAAUACUCUGGCCAUCUAAUGCAAAGAACUGACUCAUUUGAAAAGACCCUGAUGCUGGGAAAUAUUGAAGGCAGGAGGAGAAGGGGAUGACAGAGGAUGAGAUGGUUGGAUGGCAUCACUGACUCAAUGGACAUGAGUUUGAGUAGGCUCUGGGAGUUGGUAAUGGACAGGAAGGCCUGGCAUGCUGCAGUCCAUGGGGUCACAAAGAGUCGGACACAACUGAAUGACUGAACUGAGCUGAACUGAUAGCAUUUUGUGAGAGGUGUCAUCAUUUACAAACUAAUUUCAAAGUGAAUCGAUGUUUUAUAUACAUGAUGAACCGUAUGCUCAGUUCAGUUGAAUAAACCUCUGUUGGCACCACAAUGCAUCAGGUACUAGUCAAGUAUCAAAGACUGGGAUGCUUAAUUUUAUGUCAACUUGACUGGACUAAGGGGUGCACAGAUAUUUGGUCAAACAUUAUUCUGGGUGUGUCAGUAAAGGUGUUUCUGGAUGAGAUUAGCAUUUGAAUUCAAAGACCGAGUGAAGUGGAUUGACACUGAUCUACGUGUCUGCUUUUGUGCCAAUACCACACUGUUUUAACUACUGUAGCUUUGUAGUAUAGUCUGAAUUUUGGGACCAUGAUUCCUCAAGCUAUCCUAAUGACUGCAAAUAAAGUCACUGUUGUGGUUGUUGCUAAGUCAUGUCAGACUCUUUGUGACCCCAUGAGCUGCAGCAUGCUAUGCUUUCCUCUCUUUCACUAUCGCCUGGAGUUUGCUCAAAUUUAUGUGCACUGAGUCAGUGAUGCCAUCCAACCAUCUUAUCCUCUAUUGUCCCUUUCUCCUCUUGCCCUCAAUCUUCCCCAGCAUCAGGGUCUUUUCAAUGAGUCAGCUCUUUGCAUCAGGUGGCGAGGUAGUGGAGCUUCAGCUUCGCAUCAGUCUUU
rnacentral:lncRNA from 1 species